rnacentral:rRNA from 1 species
GGGGGGGGGGGGGGGGGGGGGUAGGGCGUGCAAGGCGGAGGAGGGGGUGGGGGGUUGGGGGGGAUGGGUGUGUGAGACGCGGGAUGGUGCCCGGUGGUUCGGAAUAACUCAGGGAGACGUGUGCUAAUACCGAAUGUGUCCUUCGGGGGUAAGAUUUAUCGCCUUUCUGGCGGGCCGCAUCUGAUUCGCUCGUUGGCGAGGUAACGGCACACCAAGGCGACGAUGAGUAGCUGGUCUGAGAGGAUGUCCCCCCACGCUGGGACAGAUACACGGCCCAGACUCCUACGGGAGGCAGCAGUGGGGAAUCAAGCACAAUGGGCGAGAGCGUGACGGAGCCAGGCCGCGUGAAUGAUGUAGGUCUUAGGAAUGUAGAAUUCUUUCACCGGGGACGAUAAUGACGGUACCCGGAGAAGAAGCCCCGGCUAACUUCGUG